UCAUUGAUAGAUAAAAUGACUUUAUCAUCGGCAUAAUCAGCUACGAUAGUUUGUCGCAUGGUGGGUUGGUCGGCUACGUAAAUGUUAAAGAGAAAGGGGGAGAGUAUUCCACCUUGUGGUACACCAGCUUUGAUUGGUGCGAUUCCGGACGUCGAAGAGUUAUAUUGGACUUGAAAGUGUCUAUCAGUUAGAUAAGAUUUAAUUAGUAGAAAUAAUGACGAGGGGAGAAAUUUUUUAAGUUUGAAAU